GCUCGUAGUUGGAUUUCGGUUGAGAACGGCCGGUCCGCCGUUUGGUGUGCACUGGCUGGUCUCAACUUCCUGUAGAGGACGCGCUCUGGGUUAACGCUCGGACGCGGAGUCUACGUGGUUACUUUGAAAAAAUUAGAGUGUUCAAAGCGGGCUUACGCUUGAAUAUUUCAGCAUGGAAUAACACUAUAGGACUCCUGUCCUAUUUCGUUGGUCUCGGGACGGGAGUAAUGAUUAAGAGGAACAGUUGGGGGCAUUCGUAUUUCAUUGUCAGAGGUGAAAUUCUUGGAUUUAUGAAAGACGAACUUCUGCGAAAGCAUUUGCCAAGGAUGUUUUCAUUAAUCAAGAACGAAAGUUGGGGGCUCGAAGAUGAUUAGAUACCAUCCUAGUCUCAACCAUAAACGAUGCCGACUAGGGAUUGCAGGAUGUUAAUUGAUGACUCCUGCAGCACCUUAUGAGAAAUCAAAGUUUUUGGGUUCCGGGGGGAGUAUGGUCG
rnacentral:rRNA from 1 species